GUUGGCUGGUAGAGAGCCUGCUGCUUGGGGAUCAGCUGUCUGUUAAUUAGCAGUUUGGUUCUAUUACAUUUCUAAUUCUCUCCCUCAUCCUACUUGCUGGGUAGGUGUUGAGCAAGCAGCUGUGGUGCUUAAAUAUCUUCUAGAUUAAACCACAACAGUAAGUCUUACAGUUCUUGAUUAUUCCUAUCAACUCCAGUGACCAGCUGAGUUCACCUCAAUUAGUGUAAGCAACUGAAGAGAUUCUAUUGUUCCUGAAAGCCAACAUCCGUAAUGUGUUUAUUUUAAAGAAUUUCACUUCAGACUAGUUUAAAUAGUUGAAUAUCUGUGAUUGUUAGAUGUCCUUCUAGAGCAUAUCUGCCUGUUUGUUUAUUCUGAAAUUAAAGGGAAAACUCAAUAUACAGGAACCUUGGCAUGAUUUUUGGUAAUGUCCUCCAUAGAGAAGUUGUUGAAGCAUGGUAUGGAUGAGCAGGCACUGAAGUGGUUAAAAAAAAUCAGAUGAAUGUUCACGCUCUGAGGAUAGUGGUCAGUGGCGCAAAGUCUUAUUAGAGGCCAGUAAUGAACAAAGUACCCAGGAGUCACUAGUGAGUCCAGUCCUGUUUAACGUCUUUGUUAACAAUUUGGAUGAUGGGAUAGAGUGCACCCUCUGUAAAAACUUGCAGAUGAUACAGAACUGGUGGGAGUGGCUGAUUCACAAGAGAUCUGCCUGCACAGCCAUUCAGAGGAUCCUGACAGACUGGAGGGAUAGGCUGACGAAAAUCUUGUGAAGUUCACAGGGAGAAGUGCAGAGCCCUAUGCCUGGGGGGACCCAGCUGGAAGGCAGCUUUGCAGAAAAAAGCAGGGGUUCUUGGUGGACACCAAGUUGAAUAUGAGUUGGUAGUGUGCACUUUCUUCUAGGGAAACUAAUACUUCUCUUAGUUGCAUUAGGCAAGGUAUCACUAGCAGAUCAAGAGAUGUAAUCCUUCUCCUUUGUUCAGCAUUGGUAAGGCCAUACCUGGAGUGCUACAACCAGUUUCUGGGCCUCCCAGUACAAGAGAGACAUGCAUAGAUUAGAGAACGUCCAGCAGAGAGCCACCAAGAUGAAGAAGGAACUGGAACAUUUCUCCUGUGAGGAGAGACUGAGAGAGUUGGGACUGUUAAGCUUAGAGAAGAGGAGCCUCAGGGGAAGUCUUAUCAAUGUCUAUGAACACAUGAUGGAAGUGUGCAAGGAGGACAGAGUCAUGUUACUUUCAGUCAUCUUCAGUGCCAAAAAGAGGAAGUAGACACAACCUGAAAUACAGGAUGUUCCAUCUAGGAACUUCUUUAGGAAGCACUUCACCAUGCUUGGGAGUUGGACCAGAUGACCUCCACAGACCCCUUCCAAUCUUAACUAUUCAGUGAUUCUGUGGUAGGAAACUUGCUUAAAAACUUGCUGAUCUAAAUUCAGAAUAGGUACAGAUCAACUUUGAGAGUGAAUCAAAGUUUAUAGUCCACUUUCUGGUGUGUUUUGUAUCUCUAUUUUUUUGUGAUAUGAAGGUAAUAAUUGCUGUUCUUAUAUACCAUGGGUUAGUUUGCAAAAUAAUACCAAAAUAGCAUUGUUCGUAGAAUAUCACAGAGGUGAUAUGAUAUUCUCUCAUUGUUACCUAGGCAGUCUUAAAAGGGUUGAGCUUACUGCUACAGAGACCCAUGCUCAAGUAAUGACAUUCUCCAUGCUUUCUCAUGUUUCACUUAGCAUUUGUUCUGUGGGCAAUCUGAUGUUUUUGAUUACAAUUAAAUUAUCAUCUGUUUGAAGAGAUGAAUCUUUGCAGCUGUAAAUGGGCACUUACAAAAGUAGAAAAUACCUCACUUUGAUAGAAGACAGUAAAGUCUUUUACAGGUGAGGAUGGUGAAGCACUAAAACUGAUUGCCCAGAGAUGUGGCUCCAUCCCUGGUGACUUUCAAGGCAAGGCUAGAUCAAGCCCUAGGCAACCUGAUAUAGAUGUGCAUGUCCCUGUUUAUUGCAGGGGAGUUGGACUAGACCUUUAAAGGUCCCUUCCAACUCUAAAGAUUCUUUGAUUCUAUGAAAGCUUUCUUUAAUUGGUAGCUGUAUACAUAUUAGAUUAUGAAUGCAAUUUUAGCUAUAUGAGUUUUCUUUUAUUCAUUCUAUUGUGUUUUAAAGUGUUGUACUUUCUUCUUUUUCUCCUUUCAAGUGGAGUUCUCAAACACCCAGACUAAGGCUUUUUUUUUCCCUGUCAAAUCUUUUAAGUCUUCAUUUGCAGUUAAAAAUAUAGAAACAAAAAAGUUAUGCUAUCCAUCAUCCCUCACAGUCAAAUCUCACUAUUUCAACUCUUAAUUAACCAAAUUCUUGUAUUCUGUAAGCUUUAUUGAAUUGCUUUAGAACUAAGUAAAAUUUUUAUAACACUUUUGCAAAGCAUCAAGCAGUCUGCAUCCAAUGACCUUGUUCUGUUAAUGAGAGACAAUGAAUAAAUAUUAACAUUGCAUGCUGAUCAUGCAUGGAAGACACUAUUUGAUACCUAAAUAUACAGGAAUGCUUUCUUAGUGGGCAGAUUUCUCAAUAUAAUUGCUUCAGUGUUCUUACAUUAUAGUUCUCUGAAGAAAGUUUCUAUCCUACUUCUCCUAGAGUCCCUUGAGUACCUUUGUCUUCUUUCAAUUCCACCUGAAUAGAAGGAUUUACAUACUGUUAAUUUGUUGCUUGAUUAUUAUUAUUAUUAUUAUUUUUUAAGCCUUUUGAUUCUCCCUGAACAAUACUUCUCAAAGUAAAGAAUGGAAAGAGUACAAAUUGGCAGAGAUUUGGGAAUCUUCUUCCAAAAAUUAGACUUCACAAUAAAAGAACAUAAUAGAAUAUUGCCCUCAGGGCAUAAUGUUCAAAAUGUAAUUUACUAGCAUUAUAAAUGAAUUAAUUCUCUAAUUAGCAUCUUGAAGUGUAAGAAAGAAAAGAUUGUAUGAUUGGUAACAUAUGAUGGAAAUAAUCUUUUUUUUUUUUUUUCUGAAUCAAUAUUGCUGAUAUAUGAAAAUCUGGUACUAUAAGCUGUUAUUUUUCUUGGAUUCUGCAGCUGCAGGCUGAUUAAAACCCAGCAGGAGGAACUAUAAUAAACAAAUACCACCUGCUGCAAGAACAGGUGUUUGUGUCUUCAUUUAGAAACCAAAGUAAAACAGAAGAUGCCAAAGGGCUGAAGUAGAUCAGUAUUUGGAUUGACAUAAUUUGUUAGUACUUGCCCUUGAACUUAAAAGCAUAUUAUUCUGUUUUCAAGACCUUGUGAUAGGGGUGGAACAUGUGCUUUAAGUAAUUAAGCAGCUUUCUGCAUUCUGUAUCCACCUGUCCAUUGUCCAUACUACCUGCAUUCACUGAAAGUAAUUGUUUCUCCAUUUACUGGAGUGCAAUAUAAUGUCUUUGUCUAAGAACAUUAUAAAUGCAAAAACAGGGAAAAAACGCAUUUAGUAUUUUGUUUAAUUUUACAAAUCUUACCAGUGAUUUGUUUGAUAUUUGUAGUCCAAGCAAAUCAAUACAAUCACAGAAAACUAUCAUGUCUUACCUGUUCCUUGGUGGAUUGUACAUGUUAGCUAAAGAAUUUGCAUAUGUUUAAAAGACGUACCACAGUAGAAAUGCAAGUCAUGGCAUGAAGCAGUGAUUGAGCAUCUGUUGGGAAGCCAAAGCCAAGCCAGGGGAGCUCAGAUGCAUGCAAUACACCUAACUGACCAGAGGGGUGGAGCCAGGACCCAGCCUUUUGCAGACCUCAUUUAAGUGUUGGCAGUGAAGGUAAGGGCAUCUUACUGGAGAUCCCUGUAUACCUCCUGCUGUUUGAAGCAAGCCUGCAUAGACUGAAUAGGAGCCAAAGCAGCAGCCUGCCAAAGGAUUAUGAGGAAGAAGUGAGUUUACUGAAAAAUCUGCUUCAGAAAAAUGUAACUAAUUGCAAUAUAAGACGGAUCUUUAUCAUAAGGUGUACAAAGUCCAAGAUUUGUGAAAAUGUUGAGAUUUUCAUAUAUCACUGUGCUGUCUGUAUCUCUUUAUUGUUUUAAUAGAAAGAAGAAGAAAUGAGGUUGAAGUUGGAAGAUUAUUUCUGAUCUAAUAUAAAUGCAUAUUAAUAUAAAUUCAUGUUAGAGGACAGAAGUUUGUUCUUGUGAAAAUGUUUUAGUAAAUAAAGCAAAGAUUGUCUUUUUUUAAUGAGUGAUGAUUACAAAUAAAUGUAAUGCUACAUCUUAGGAUAGAAACUUCAAACUUCAGCUUGGCAUUAUUUAAAUGACAUAAAGAAUCUAAGCUGUGUUUUCUUAACUGCAUUGCACAUUGUUCAGGGAAGCAGCAUGCCAAAAAAAGUAUUGCUGGGAAAAGAUUUAUAAGUGAAGAGAAUACUACAGAAGUUAAAUACAAUUGGAUCUUGACUGAGAGCUAAAAGAAUAUGGAAAGCAUCAAAAUGCCACAUGGCUACAUAUUAUGUCAUUUUACUUUCACCUAGUUAUUCCUGCAUAGAUGCACAUCCCAUCUGUGAUUCAUGUACA